rnacentral:rRNA from 1 species
AUUGAACGCUGGCGGCAUGCCUUACACAUGCAAGUCGAACGGCAGCACGGGAGCAAUCCUGGUGGCGAGUGGCGAACGGGUGAGUAAUAUAUCGGAACGUGCCCAGUCGUGGGGGAUAACGCAGCGAAAGCUGUGCUAAUACCGCAUACGAUCUAUGGAUGAAAGCGGGGGAUCGCAAGACCUCGCGCGAUUGGAGCGGCCGAUAUCAGAUUAGCUAGUUGGUGGGGUAAAGCCACCAAGGCGACGAUCUGUAGCUGGUCUGAGAGGACGACCAGCCACACUGGAACUGAGACACGGUCCAGACUCCUACGGGAGGCAGCAGUGGGGAAUUUUGGACAAUGGGGGUAACCCUGAUCCAGCAAUGCCGCGUGAGUGAAGAAGGCCUUCGGGUUGU